AGCGGGAAACCUGCUGCUAAUCCCGGAUGAGCCUAAGGGUAAAAGAUUUAUUGCCUGGAGAGGAGCUCGCGUCCGAUUAGCUAGUUGGUGAGGUAAGAGCUUACCAAGGCGACGAUCGGUAGCUGGUCUGAGAGGACGAUCAGCCACACUGGGACUGAGACACGGCCCAGACUCCUACGGGAGGCAGCAGUGGGGAAUUUUCCGCAAUGGGCGAAAGCCUGACGGAGCAAGACCGCGUGCGGGAGGAAGGCCCUUGGGUCGUAAACCGCUUUUCUUAGGGAAGAAGCUCUGACGGUACCUAAGGAAUCAGCCUCGGCUAACUCCGUGCCAGCAGCCGCGGUAAUACGGAGGAGGCAAGCGUUAUCCGGAAUUAUUGGGCGUAAAGCGUCCGCAGGCGGCUUACCAAGUCUGCUGUCAAAUACCAGAGCUCAACUCUGGGUCGGCGGUGGAAACUGGCAAGCUAGAGUACAGUAGGGGUAGAGGGAAUUCCCAGUGUAGCGGUGAAAUGCGUAGAGAUUGGGAAGAACACCGGUGGCGAAAGCGCUCUACUGGGCUGUA
rnacentral:rRNA from 1 species